rnacentral:rRNA from 1 species
AGCCUGAGAGGUGAUGCGUAGCCGAUUGAGGCGAAUUCAGUGAUCCUAUGCUGCCGAGAAAAGCCUCUAGCGAGCUUUCACACGGCCCGUACCCCAAACCGACACAGGUGGUCAGGUAGAGAAUACUGAGGCGAUCGAGAUAACUAUGGUUAAGGAACUCGGCAAAAUGCCCCCGUAACUUCGGGAGAAGGGGGACCUCGUCCGGUGAUCAUCCUUGCGGUGUGAGCUGGGUGGGGUCGCAGAGACCAGUGAGAAGCGACUGUUUACUAAAAACACAGGUCCGUGCGAAGUCGUAAGACGAUGUAUACGGACUGACGCCUGCCCGGUGCUGGAAGGUUAAGAGGACCGGUCAACUGCACUUGUGUGGUGAAGCUGAGAAUUUAAGCCCCAGUAAACGGCGGUGGUAACUAUAACCAUCCUAAGGUAGCGAAAUUCCUUGUCGGGUAAGUUCCGACCUGCACGAAUGGCGUAACGACUUCUCAGCUGUCUCAACCAUAGACUCGGCGAAAUUGCAUUACGAGUAAAGAUGCUCGUUACGCGCGGCAGGACGAAAAGACCCCGGGACCUUCACUAUAGCUUGGUAUUGGUGUUCGGUUCGGUUUGUGUAGGAUAGGUGGGAGACUGUGAAGCGGUGACGCCAGUUACUGUGGAGUCGUUGUUGAAAUACCACUCUGAUCGUAUUGGAUACCUCAACCUCGGACCAUGAUCUGGUUCAGGGACAGUGCCUGGUGGGUAGUUUAACUGGGGCGGUUGCCUCCCAAAAUGUAACGGAGGCGCCCAAAGGUUCCCUCAGCCUGGUUGGCAAUCAGGUGUCGAGUGCAAGUGCACAAGGGAGCUUGACUGUGAGACUGACAGGUCGAGCAGGGACGAAAGUCGGGACUAGUGAUCCGGCACCGGCAUGUGGAAGCGGUGUCGCUCAACGGAUAAAAGGUACCCCGGGGAUAACAGGCUGAUCUUCCCCAAGAGUCCAUAUCGACGGGAUGGUUUGGCACCUCGAUGUCGGCUCGUCGCAUCCUGGGGCUGGAGUAGGUCCCAAGGGUUGGGCUGUUCGCCCAUUAAAGCGGCACGCGAGCUGGGUUUAGAACGUCGUGAGACAGUUCGGUCUCUAUCCGCCGCGCGCGUCAGAAACUUGAGGAAGGCUGUCCCUAGUACGAGAGGACCGGGACGGACGAACCUCUGGUGUGCCAGUUGUUCCACCAGGAGCACCGCUGGUUAGCUACGUUCGGAAGGGAUAACCGCUGAAAGCAUCUAAGCGGGAAGCCUGUUCCAAGAUGAGGUUUCUCACCCCCUUUGUGGGGGUAAGGCCCCCGGCAGACCACCGGGUUGAUAGGCCAGAACUGGAAGUGCAGUAAUGCAUGCAGGUGACUGGUACUAAUAGGCCGAGGACUUACCACA